GUAUUUGUUUUAGACCGCCCCACGACCGCGAGGUCGAACGACGAUCGUAAUACAUUCUAGACAUACGAUGUGUGUGACGAUUGAAACAUAGAUCCUCUUUCGAGGACCUACAAUGUGUGCACAGGUGUGAGAGUAAGAGAAAGGUGGACGUGCACGGCCGAAGCCAGCGACAGUCCGCCUCGCCCUCGAAGUUCGAUAAUGAUCCUUCCGCAGGUUCACCUACGGAAA
rnacentral:misc_RNA from 1 species